GACGAACGCUGGCGGCGUGCUUAACACAUGCAAGUCGAACGAAGUGGCGAACGGGUGAGUAACGCGUAAUCAACCCGCACUUCAGAGGGGGACAACAGUUGGAAACGACUGCUAAUACCGCAUACUGAAGGAGGGGAUUGCGUCUGAUUAGCUAGUUGGAGGGGUAACGGCCCACCAAGGCGAUGAUCAGUAGCCGGUCUGAGAGGAUGCACUGCCACAUUGGGACUGAGACACGGCCCAUACUCCUACGGGAGGCAGCCGUGGGUACUCUUCCGCAAUGGACGACAGUCUGACGGAGCAACGCCGCGUGCGUGAUGACGGCCUUCGGGUUGUAAGGCUCUGUUAAUCGGGACGCGGUACCGGAAUAGAAAGCCACGGCUAACUACGUGCCAGCAGCCGCGGUAAUAC
rnacentral:rRNA from 1 species